rnacentral:lncRNA from 1 species
UUAGCUACUCGCUCCUAAGCCCAUACCAAGGAUCAAGGAAAACCAACAAUUUGACUAACGUCCAUACACCAUGAUGCAUGAUUCACCAUAAGAUUGCAAUAUCACAAAAACAUGCUUACCAUGCAAUCAUUGUAACACCCUAAAACCUCACAUACAAAUUAUUUCAUAAUUUAAUAAAAAGUAAAGCCACAUAUGUUAUCACACACAUCAAAUAUACCAUGUGUCGCAACCUAAAAUAGGAACGCAAAAAAAAAACA